GUAACACGUAGUCAACCUGCCCUGGAGACAUGGAAAACCCCGGGAAACUGGGAUUAAUCCGUGAUAGGUUACCUCAUCUGGAAGGAGAGAUGGCUUAAAGGGGUGCGAGAGCUUCUUUCUUGCAUUCGCUCCAGGAUGGGACUGCGGCCGAUCAGGCUGUUGGCGGUGUAAUGGACCACCAAACCUGUAACCGGUACGGGCCUUGAGAGAGGGGGCCCGGAGAUGGACACUGAGAGAAGGGUCCAGGUCCUACGGGGCGCAGCAGGCGCGAAACCUUCGCAAUGCGCGAAAGCGUGACGAGGUUAAUCCGAGUGGUCCCCGCUGAGGGGAUCUUUUGUUGGCUGUAAAAAGGCCGAUGAAUAAGGGGAGGGCAAGUCUGGUGUCAGCCGCCGCGGUAAUACCAGCUCCUCGAGUGGUCGGGGCGAUUAUUGGGCCUAAAGCAUCCGUAGCCGGUUCUGUAGGUCCUCUGUCAAAUCCAACGGCUUAACCGUUGGCCCGCAGAGGAUACCGCAGGACU
rnacentral:rRNA from 1 species